rnacentral:rRNA from 1 species
GACGAACGCUGGCGGCGUGCUUAACACAUGCAAGUCGAGCGGUAAGGCCCUUUCGGGGGUACGACGAGCGGCGAACGGGUGAGUAACACGUGGGCGAACCUGCCCUUACGCUCUGGGAGUAACCCCGGGAAACCCGGGGCGUAAUACCGGAUAUCACUUCGAGUGGCAUCGCUCGAAGUUGAAAGGAUUCUGGCUAAGGAUGGGCCCGCGGCCUAUCAGCUUGUUGGUGGGGUAAUGGCCUACCAAGGCGACGAC